rnacentral:rRNA from 1 species
GACGAACGCUGGCGGCGUGCCUAAUACAUGCAAGUAGAACGCUGAAGGAGGAGCUUGCUUCUCUGGAUGAGUUGCGAACGGGUGAGUAACGCGUAGGUAACCUGCCUGGUAGCGGGGGAUAACUAUUGGAAACGAUAGCUAAUACCGCAUAAGAGUAGAUGUUGCAUGACAUUUGCUUAAAAGGUGCAAUUGCAUCACUACCAGAUGGACCUGCGUUGUAUUAGCUAGUUGGUGGGGUAACGGCUCACCAAGGCGACGAUACAUAGCCGACCUGAGAGGGGGAUCGGCCACACUGGGACUGAGACACGGCCCAGACUCCUACGGGAGGCAGCAGUAGGGAAUCUUCGGCAAUGGACGGAAGUCUGACCGAGCAACGCCGCGUGAGUGAAGAAGGUUUUCGGAUCGUAAAGCUCUGUUGUAAGAGAAGAACGAGUGUGAGAGUUGAAAGUUCACACUGUGACGGUAUCUUACCAGAAAGGGACGGCUAACUACGUG